GUUCCUUGGAAAAGGACAGCUGAGAGGGUGACACUCCCGUCCGCCUGGUAGAGUGAGUCUUUGUCAACGAGUCGAGCUGUUUGGGAUUGCAGCUCUAAUUUGGUGGUAAAUUCCAUCUAAAGCUAAAUAUUGGUGGGAGACCGAUAGCGUACAAGUACCGUGAGGGAAAGAUGCAAAGAACUUUGAAAAGAGAGUUAAAGAGUACCUGAAAUUGCUGAAACGGAAGCGAAGGAAACCAGUGUUUGUUGGUUCAUAUUUCCCUUGUCACUUGUGAUGUGGGCGCUGUGAGCUUGCGUGGGUUUGCUUUGGUUGAUUCCUUUGGAAGAGCGCAGUCAGAGUUGAUGUCU
rnacentral:rRNA from 1 species